GAAAUGCGAUAAGUAGUGUGAAUUGCAGAAUUCAGUGAAUCAUCGAAUCUUUGAACGCACAUUGCGCCCCUCGGUAUUCCGUGGGGCAUGCCUGUUCGAGCGUCAUCUACACCCUCAAGCUCUGCUUGGUGUUGGGCGUCUGUCCCGCCUCCUUCGCGCGCGAACUCGCCCCAAAUCCAUUGGCGGCGGCCCUUGCCUCCCUCUCGCGCAGCACAUUGCGCUUCUCGAGGCGCGGCGGACCGCGUCCAGCAAGCAACCGUCACACCGUCUUUGACCUCGGAUCAGGUAGGGAUACCCGCUGAACUUAAGC
rnacentral:misc_RNA from 1 species